GAUGAACGCUGGCGGCGUGCCUAAUACAUGCAAGUCGAGCGAACAGAUGAGGAGCUUGCUCCUCUGACGUUAGCGGCGGACGGGUGAGUAACACGUGGAUAACCUACCUAUAAGACUGGGAUAACUUCGGGAAACCGGAGCUAAUACCGGAUAAUAUAUUGAACCGCAUGGUUCAAUAGUGAAAGACGGUUUUGCUGUCACUUAUAGAUGGAUCCGCGCCGCAUUAGCUAGUUGGUAAGGUAACGGCUUACCAAGGCAACGAUGCGUAGCCGACCUGAGAGGGUGAUCGGCCACACUGGAACUGAGACACGGUCCAGACUCCUACGGGAGGCAGCAGUAGGGAAUCUUCCGCAAUGGGCGAAAGCUUGACGGAGCAACGCCGCGAGAGUGAUGAAGGUCUUCGGAUCGUAAAACUCUGUUAUUAGGGAAGAACAAAUGUGUAAGUAACUAUGCACGUCUUGACGGUACCUAAUCAGAAAGCCACGGCUAACUACGUG
rnacentral:rRNA from 1 species